rnacentral:rRNA from 1 species
UACGGAGGGGGCUAGCGUUGUUCGGAAUUACUGGGCGUAAAGCGCUCGUAGGCGGCUUUGUAAGUUAGAGGUGAAAGCCCGGAGCUCAACUCCGGAAUUGCCUUUAAGACUGCAUCGCUAGAAUUGUGGAGAGGUAAGUGGAAUUCCGAGUGUAGAGGUGAAAUUCGUAGAUAUUCGGAAGAACACCAGUGGCGAAGGCGACUUACUGGACACAUAUUGACGCUGAGGUGCGAAAGCGUGGGGAGCAAACAGG